CGGGUGAGUAACACGUGAGUAACCUGCCCUUGACUCUGGGAUAAGCCUGGGAAACUGGGUCUAAUACCGGAUAUGACUCCUCAUCGCAUGGUGGGGGGUGGAAAGCUUUUUGUGGUUUUGGAUGGACUCGCGGCCUAUCAGCUUGUUGGUGGGGUAAUGGCCUACCAAGGCGACGACGGGUAGCCGGCCUGAGAGGGUGACCGGCCACACUGGGACUGAGACACGGCCCAGACUCCUACGGGAGGCAGCAGUGGGGAAUAUUGCACAAUGGGCGAAAGCCUGAUGCAGCGACGCCGCGUGAGGGAUGACGGCCUUCGGGUUGUAAACCUCUUUCAGUAGGGAAGAAGCCCUCUUUGGGGGUGACGGUACUUGCAGAAGAAGCGCCGGCUAACUACGUGCCAGCAGCCGCGGUAAUACGUAGGGCGCAAGCGUUAUCCGGAAUUAUUGGGCGUAAAGAGCUCGUAGGCGGUUUGUCGCGUCUGCUGUGAAAGACCGGGGCUCAACUCCGGUUCUGCAGUGGGUACGGGCAGACUAGAGUGCAGUAGGGGAGACUGGAAUUCCUGGUGUAGCGGUGAAAUGCGCAGAUAUCAGGAGGAACACCGAUGGCGAAGGCAGGUCUCUGGGCUGUAACUGACGCUGAGGAGCGAAAGCAUGGGGAGCGAACAGGAUUAGAUACCCUGGUAGUCCAUGCCGUAAACGUUGGGCACUAGGUGUGGGGGACAUUCCACGUUUUCCGCGCCG
rnacentral:rRNA from 1 species